rnacentral:rRNA from 1 species
UACGUAGGGUGCGAGCGUUAAUCGGAAUUACUGGGCGUAAAGCGUGCGCAGGCGGUUCGUUAUGUCCGAUGUGAAAGCCCCGAGCUCAACUUGGGAAUGGCAUUGGAAACUGGCGGGCUGGAGUGUGGCAGAGGGGGGUGGAAUUCCACGUGUAGCAGUGGAAUGCGUAGAGAUGUGGAGGAACACCGAUGGCGAAGGCAGCCCCCUGGGCCAACACUGACGCUCAGGCACGAAAGCGUGGGGAGCAAACAGG